GAGAGGACAGCCAAUGAUGCAGAGAGCACAGGGAGAGGAGAAACACCAGGUCCAAUAGAGAGAGGAGAGAGAGAAGGCAGCACCUGACGUGGAGGACAAGGAGGCCCUCAGGGCACUACUGUGAAAAGGAGACUCCCCAGACAAGCCAAGAGAUUUGUGUCCCUGGAAACAUAAGCGUCUCACUCAGCCAGUGCCACAGGACACCCUCUUCUAGACGCCCCCCCCCCGACACCCUCCUCCCCGCCACACCAACUAAUCAGCCGCGGGAUCCGGGCCAGUGUGCACAAUGUGCCCGCAAAAUUGCCAGUUGGGUCCCCGCUGCUGAGAUGGUGACUGUGGGCCAAAGGAAAGUGGACCCAGCGCAAGGCGGCCAGCUGGAUGGAGCAGCAGACCCGAAGAGAAUCCGCUUGAGUCUCUUCAGAUGGAGAACAGAUGGCGCUGGAGAACCUUGAAGUUGCAUGCAUGUCGCCUUUGUGUUAAAAGUCCUAACCGCGCGGAUUGAGCUCCACACUGAACCGUGUUCAACCUCCCCCUCAUCCACUCCGCUGGUAUUCCUGCUUUGCUCUGAUGAAAUAUUGUUAUUCAGGCACACAGCGUCUGGAUGCCUGUCUGACUUGAGCAUUUUUAUCUUCAUCAGACAGAAGAGAAAGUGUUAUAACAAAC
ensembl:lncRNA